rnacentral:rRNA from 1 species
CCCUUAGAUGUUCUGGGCCGCACGCGCGCUACACUGAUUCAUGCACUAAGUAUAUAAUCUUGGUAGAAAUGCUUGGGUAAUCUUUGAAACUGAAUCGUGCUGGGGAUUGGAGCUUGUAAUUAUUCUCCAUGAACGAGGAAUUCCUAGUAAACGCGAGUCAUCAGCUCGCAUUGAUUACGUCCCUGCCCUUUGUACACACCGCCCGUCGCACCUACCGAUUGAAUGGUCCGGUGAAAUCUUCGGACCGGGCGAUAGUCAGCAAUGACCGUUGCCUGGAAAGUUGCUUAAACCUUACCAUUUAGAGGAAGGUGAAGUCGUAACA